rnacentral:misc_RNA from 1 species
AGCGUCAUCUAAACCUUCAAGCACCGCUUGAUGUUGGGCGUUUGUCCCGCCUCGGGCGUGGACUCGCCUUAAAAGCAUUGGCGGCCUGUGUAACGGCUUCGAGCGCAGCAGAUGCGCGCCUCGUCUCCUCGCACCGGCGUCCAGCAAGCCUAACUUCUCAGUUUGACCUCGGAUCAGGUAGGGAUACCCGCUGAACUUAA